ACGCUGGCGGCAGGCCUAACACAUGCAAGUCGAGCGGUAGAGAGAAGCUUGCUUCUCUUGAGAGCGGCGGACGGGUGAGUAAUGCCUAGGAAUCUGCCUGGUAGUGGGGGAUAACGUUCGGAAACGGACGCUAAUACCGCAUACGUCCUACGGGAGAAAGCAGGGGACCUUCGGGCCUUGCGCUAUCAGACGAGCCUAGGUCGGAUUAGCUAGUUGGUGAGGUAAUGGCUCACCAAGGCGACGAUCCGUAACUGGUCUGAGAGGAUGAUCAGUCACACUGGAACUGAGACACGGUCCAGACUCCUACGGGAGGCAGCAGUGGGGAAUAUUGGACAAUGGGCGAAAGCCUGAUCCAGCCAUGCCGCGUGUGUGAAGAAGGUCUUCGGAUUGUAAAGCACUUUAAGUUGGGAGGAAGGGCAGUUACCUAAUACGUGAUUGUUUUGACGUUACCGACAGAAUAAGCACCGGCUAACUCUGUGCCAGCAGCCGCGGUAAUACAGAGGGUGCAAGCGUUAAUCGGAAUUACUGGGCGUAAAGCGCGCGUAGGUGGUUUGUUAAGUUGGAUGUGAAAUCCCCGGGCUCAACCUGGGAACUGCAUUCAAAACUGACUGACUAGAGUAUGGUAGAGGGUGGUGGAAUUUCCUGUGUAGCGGUGAAAUGCGUAGAUAUAGGAAGGAACACCAGUGGCGAAGGCGACCACCUGGACUGAUACUGACACUGAGGUGCGAAAGCGUGGGGAGCAAAC
rnacentral:rRNA from 1 species